rnacentral:rRNA from 1 species
ACAUGAAGCUGGAAUCGCUAGUAAUCGCGAAUCAGAAUGUCGCGGUGAAUACGUUCCCGGGCCUUGUACACACCGCCCGUCACACCAUGGAAGUCUGCAAUGCCCGAAGCCGGUGGCCUAACCACUUAUGUGGAAGGAGCCGUCUAAGGCAGGGCAGAUGACUGGGGUGAAGUCGUAACAAGGUAAC